GACGAACGCUGGCGGCGUGCUUAACACAUGCAAGUCGAACGGAAAGGCCCUGCUUUUGUGGGGUGCUCGAGUGGCGAACGGGUGAGUAACACGUGAGUAACCUGCCCUUGACUUUGGGAUAACUUCAGGAAACUGGUGCUAAUACCGGAUAGGAGCUCCUGCUGCAUGGUGGGGGUUGGAAAGUUUCGGCGGUUGGGGAUGUACUCGCGGCUUAUCAGCUUGUUGGUGGGGUAGUGGCUUACCAAGGCUUUGACGGGUAGCCGGCCUGAGAGGGCGACCGGCCACAUUGGGACUGAGAUACGGCCGAGACUCCUACGGGAGGCAGCAGUGGGGAAUAUUGCACAAUGGGCGGAAGCCUGAUGCAGCAACGCCGCGUGCGGGAUAACGGCCUUCGGGUUGUAAAACGCUUUCGCCUGUGACGAAGCGUGAGUGACGGUAAUGGGUAAAGAAGCAACGGCUAAAUACGUG
rnacentral:rRNA from 1 species